AAAGAGACUUAUGAAUUUAAAUGAAGAGUGAACAGCAGGAGCAGAGGAAGCCAAGCACUUCAUCUAAUUUAAUUUUCUCUUGCCUUUUUAAUAUACGUUACAUCAUAAAGUUGGAUGUAUCCGCUUAAAUAACAGUUGCAAGACUGCUGGUGAAUGAUGUGGAAAGACAUUUUAAACGGAAGGGCCAGCUAGAACACUGUCAUCCCAUGUGGAUGUCCAACUUUUGAUGAGUUGUUGAGGUGAUGGAGGUGUUAGUCAUCAAAUAGGAAGCAAAAGUUGCUGUAGACACGGGGUUUUGAGUUUGGCACAACCCUACUACAUCUACUCUCGAUGGGAUGUCGAUGUAGAUCAGACAGACUUCCUUCCUAUUGAGGAUAAUGGCUUCCAAUCCAGAAUUUUGAUAGGCGGAGAAAGAGGAGCUGAGAGAGGCACACCAGCUUUUUAACUUCCUGGACUUUAACAGGCACACAUGGCUUCUAUUAUAGAUCACUGGCUUCCCCCACCCAAAGGGAGGCUCAGGGAAGAAGGAGUUAUGACGUCAUCGCUUGUUCAUUAUCCAUCUCAGACCACUGACAACUCCCCAAGUACACCCCGCUGCAGUCAGACUCUGUUCCUUCGCCCGUUUGGCUCCUGCCUGGAAUGUUCCAUUCUCUGCUUUGCCUUCAAGGACUGAGACUCAAAUCUCCUUACUUGAAACCAGCUCCUCCUCUCCGAAAGCACAGCAUUUUGCUUGCGUGGUGCAGAGGAGUGAUCAUUGUGUUCAUCUCUGCCAGAAAACUGUGGUCUCUGAGAGGUCACAUACCACAUACACUAUGAAAGAAACAUUUAAGGAUCUGAAAAUUCUUGAUUCUCCUUUUCCUCUUGCAGAGAGUCUCCUGCAGCCUGGGCUAACAC
rnacentral:lncRNA from 1 species